CCAUUUUAUGCCUCUAGCUGCAACUGAGCCCCUCCGUGUCUCACUUGCUCCAAAACCCAGGUAAGGUACCGACCACGUACAGGAUGCCCAGCUGCAUUCAGCACAGAAGAAGAGGUUAGAAGGGGACACAGACACAGCCCUACAAAAACCAAGCCCCAGGCCAUAGAAGAACUUACUUACCAUAUGGCAUCUUCAAAAGAGAGCACCUCCCUACUUAUCCACUUACUGGGUACAUCCAUGUACGAAAUAAGUCCUCUGUAACAACCUAGGCAGACCUUUCCUGAAGCUUAAAAGGGAUAACUAAUUUUGUCAUACAGUUAAUGGUUCAGAGGACUACACCUUCAUUCCAAGCCUGAUUCUGCUUACAAGAAAUACACAGAACCAUGAAAAUUGACAUUGCCUUUGUCCCAGGAGAACAGGAACUGCUUUGUGAUGAAAAUGAUCUUUGCCUGAGGCCUGCAGUAAAAAAAAACAGGAUAAAAUCCUGUACCUUCUACCUCAGUUUGUGUCAUCAGAAUUGCUGAAGAAUUGGAGACCUAGUCUUCCAUACUGGAAAAGCUGCUUACAGCCUUUACAAAAACAAUGGAUUAGAAGCUGAUGCCGUCAAAACAGAGCUCCACACCACCAUAGUUACAGAGUAAAAUUAUGCCUGGUUUUCCUCUCAAGCAGUCCUCGGUAUUGACCACACCUUUGAUUUUCUCAAAGUGCACUUUUUGUCCUUCUCAGAGUGUCUACUUCUGGACUUCAGCCAUAACCGUCUGAUUCUUUUUGAUUCCUCCCUUCAGUACCUCCGCGCUAUGAUAAAAGGUUAUCCAAAGAAUAGUCAAUCAGAGACUAUCUAAUGUAGAUCUUUGUAAGAAGAGACCUUUGCUUUAAGGAGCAAUAAAAUGUCAUUUAAAAAAACACACAACCAGCAUCUGAUUUAGCAGCCUUUGAACUCAGGAGCCUGAGUGUGGAGGUUCACAGUAUCCAGCUAUUUUUUCAGGUGUACACCACUGACACUUGGAGGUCAUAUUUUUCAAAUUUUCUUAGCUAUCAUAACACUAAGAGAUUACUUUUUAAAACAAGGAAAAAUAAAGCUGACACUCCAGAGAAAGUGAAGAGGAAAAUCUGUUUCUUCUGAUCCUUCUGGGGCUUUUUAAAUUCAAAUCGUGCAGUUAGGGUGGACUCAGAAUCUUCAAGAACAAAUCUGAGUAUCAAUAUUCACUAGAGACUCUAUUGCUACUAGGUAAAUUGAAAUAGAUUCUGAAAAAAUCUAUUUUACAAUGCACUAAGUAUUACUUACAAUGCAUUAAGUAUGAGUGCUUACAUAUUAAGGUAAAAAGCAACAACACCACUACACACUAGCUAAUAUGUUUUCAUUGUUUUAUUUCUAUAGUGAAAUUUACCUCCCCACAUGGAAAAAUAAAGCAAAUAGUAAUAUAAACCCUAAAUAUAGUUUCCAUAAUGACCUUAUAAUAAGCAGAGCUGGUGGCUCCAUGUGUUAUAUAGUUCUACUAAAAAAAAAUGCCUGCUUAUUAACUUGCUAUACGCAGCCAUUUUUGCUGAAGUUCUCAACACCAAACAUCUACCCAAGCAGACCGUUUUUAAAAAUUUUCACCAAAUGCUUUCAUCUAUUUUCUGAACUGUAUUAGAAAACCAGUAAGGGUAUUGUUCUCCCCAAAUUUAAAAUUCUGAUAGUCUUUGAGACUUCCAGGGCCUUAUACUUCAAAGCAGGAAUGUGAUAUUUGGCAAGAUCUGAUCUUUUCAAUGGGAGGUGAUUUACCAGGCAAACCUUUCAAAACACGGUGAAGUGCCAGGCUACUGAAAUGUCAGAUUUUAGAGUUUCAUGUCUCAAGAUCUGGUCUCCAAUAGGCAUGGUCCAGCCAAAGAUCAACAUGGAUCCUCUCAAUAUCUGAAAAUUCCUGGCACAGAUGGGUCAGUGCUGGGUGAAGAUUUGAUGCAAGCUCCUGAGACCUCUUUCCUCUGUGUUCAUGGUGGACUUCCAAUAAGGAUCUGGCAGCCUGGCUCAGACAUGGUUGUUCUCAUGGGACCUUCAUUUUCCCGUCCUGUUGGGAAUAUCAGAGCACUCAAAGCUGUUGAGGACCCUAAAAAAUCAAUCCUUUGAAUCCAUGCAGUGCUUUGUACAGUACGUGUGAACAUGUUCACGUAUGCACACACUGUAUAUAGAACAGGCAUAUGUAUUCAUAUACACAAACCCACACUGAUUGUUCAGAAAACUCUGAUUCUUGAUACUUCAAAUUCGGGACCUGAAGUUAUUGAAUACAUCAGAUCUUUGUUUCUGUCUGCCUUUGUUCACCAUUCAUAAAACACAGACAAUUGUUUUUCCUUAUUUUAUGUCAGUGUUGUGAAAAUAAGUUCCUUACUGCAUGAGCCAUCCAGCGCUGCAGUGAGGAGUGCCAUAAACAUGUCCACAAGGAGAAAAGGAAUUCUGUCUACUGACCAGGAUUUGAAUACUGUAAAGAACAUAGAACAUGUGGCCACACACCGUAUAGCUAAAAGACAACACUGGACAGCUGUUUAUUGUUUCAGGCUCUGAGUCUAUCAAAGAUCCCAUGGAAGAAACUAAAUUAGACCAGCUAAUGAACAAACUUAUUUAAACAUGAUAUUGAUUCAAGGACAGUCUGAAUUCUGGAUUUGAGAACUUACGGCUGCUUGCUUACACACCUUCUUUUGUAUCUUGUAUUUUAUAACAUUCUUUUAAUUUUGUUGUGUCAUGUGAGAACCUCAUGAGGUUCGA